GUGUACGAUGCAGGUUUGCAAGCUCUUCUUCCUCCCUCUCGGGGAGAAAAGAAUCCACCCAGCCCCAGAGCCUGACUCCCUUAUUCACUGUGCAAGCAUGAAUUAACCAGGAAUGUUCGAGAAUUAGGCCUGAAUAAUUCAUGAACCUGAAUUAAUCAUGCAUUUUCAUGAAUUAUUCAUGAAUAACUCAUGGAAAUGCAAGGUUUAUUCAUGCUCCAAAAAACCCAAGGCUUGUUCCUCUCCUUUUCUGCUCACUCUUCCUGUAAGAAACAGACUGACAGAGGCUAAAGAAAGAAAGAGGGGGGUUGUUUUACAGUGGGGGGCUCCUUAUCCAGACAACAGAAACCUGGCAGGGAAUUGUGGUGAGGGGACACACACACAAGGCAAAAGAAGUGUCCGAUCACCUUCUCUUCUGAAGCAGGCAGCUGAGAGCUGGAUAGACAGGAGACAUUUUGCAAGACUCUGCAACUGAAGCAGUGCAAACCAGGUGGUGCUGGUCCAAAUGGCUGCAAAGCUUUACGUUUUAAUCAGCUGGCCAGAUGGCAGCCGUGUGAUCAACAUCGAAAACAUCAAAGAACCCCGAAAGCCAUUUCAUCUCUACAUGGUGGGGGAGCAGGUGCUAGCCCGCUGCCCUGGCUUCAGUGGUCUGUACUGGGGGGUUGUGGAAGGCAUAAGCGGUAAGUGAUCAUUAUCCAUCCUAGACUUAGGCCUGUUGGGAGCAGCCUCUAGAAACAAAUGAAAUGAACAUUGAAAACCUUUUUCUUCCAACAGGCCAUAAAGAUAUCUUAGAGAAAAGGCUGCAGGAAAAUAGACAACUCUUUGAGAAGCUAAAAGAAGAACCAGCAGUGCAGAGUGGGCUGCCAUCCCAACCUAAAAAAUCAAGGAAGACUUUUCCAAAAUGGAUGCCAGGAAGUUUCUCUCGCAAAUACAGCAAUGACAGGAGCUUCUACGUCAAACCGCUGGUUGGGGAUGAAGACGCAGGGCUCAAGCAUGAUGCUGCCGCCUCUUCUGUCUUAAAAGAGAGGUGCAUCCUGACUAGCACGACUAGAUCCCACUGCACAAUGUCAGCACCUUACCACUCUUCCAUGGCCUUCAAAUCACCGUCUCCAUUCUUGUCCCUGGCUGUGCCUGGAACAUCCCAGAAUGAAGACGCAAGGCCUGGCAUGGCUACCGGAGAUUACAUCACCCUGACAAUGAAAAGGAAGUCAGAUGGCAUUCUAGCUAAGUGUCAGCAGCACAUCUGUACCAACAGCUGUGAUGAACCAAAGACUAAAGGUUCCCCAGAAACAGAUGAUUUUGAGGUAGUUCAGAAAGAUUUUGGCCCUGGUGAAGUGGAAAGGUCUGAGAAGAUUGAACAACUGGAGAAAAUCAUAGUAGAUCUCCAGCAAGAGGUCUUCUCCCUGAAACGGAAAGUGCAGCGGCUGGAAUCGCUGUCCUUUCAGGAAGAACCUCACAGGCAGCAAUGCGAGGUGGUGGAACUGUUUAAUGGCUACACAAAGGAGCAUCUGAAAGAGGCCAUCCGAUUUGACCAGAAAAUCAGCACUGCCUGCAAAACACUGCUCUACAAGCUGUUCACAUCUGACUAUAUACAGAGCCACUCCAUCACAGGAAGGAGAGGGAACACCUUUCGGGAGGCUAAGCCCAUGAUGGAUGAGCGGUGCAUCAAAAUCAUUAGGGUGUUACUGAAGCAGAAGUUUGGGGACCACCUGAGUGACACAGUAAUCACUGAGAAAAUCCAAAAUGUGCAGAAAGCACUCAGGCAGAAAUGUAAGACUGAGUGUCUCUGAGAAGCAUGUAAUUCGGUGUCUCAUUUCCUAGGCAGUGCCGGAAUCUAGAAUACAAUGCGAUGAGCAGUCUUUCCAAGAUACCUUUGUUGUCUUGCUGGAUUAAUUGUGGAAGCGCGGUGAAAUAUCUGCUAGAAACAACACAAACUAUUUGUGGUUGAAAGUCGUUUGCAUUCAUAUCGUGGGAGAUUUUCACCCAGAAUUUUCCAAGUCGCAUCAUUUUACAUACCCCUCAGUUUUGCAAAUCAUGCAAAGGAGUCGAUGUUUUUGUUCCAUUUAUAAUGGACAACUUUUGGUGGUGGGGGGAAAAGAUUGGAAAUUUCAACUGAAGAAGCCCCCAGAAAUUUGGAUGGUUAAUCAAAUCUGAUUCCUACUAUUCAAACACCUUGGGUCUGAAAAAUGAUGCUGAAAAUCUCACAAGAAGUAGGCUUUAAACAUCCAAACUUUUGGAUGUGUGUUCCAGACUGAAACGCCCAGCACUGCUACCACUGCACACACGGCAGACAACUAGUAUUUCAGAUCCAGCUCAAACGAAGCUAUAACCCAUUUGCAGACUUGCAAACACCAAGUUUAACCUUUUCACUAGUCUCUAUUUCCUUGCCUCCUCUCAGGUUACUGAGACGAUGAGCAAGGCAGAGAGGGAAGCAAGCCACCACUCACUGAAAGGGCAUGGUGAGACACUUUCCGCUUCUCUCUCUCAUAACACGCAAGGCAGUAAGAGUAGAUGCCACAUUCAGCCUUGUAGUGGGUCAGAACAAAAAAUGUCACCUCUCGGGGCAAUGAGUGUAACCUGAAUGAAAGCAAUACAUGGGAAUUGUGCAUGCAACUUAAUGGGCUCUGGGCCCAGCUGGUCCUCACAUGGGAUUUACAUCCCUUUCCUCAUUCAACAUUGCUUCUCUCCUCUCAGCUGCAGCACCCAGCUUCUGCCAAGGAUAGAGCAAAAUAAAUCCCUUUGAUGCCAGAUGAAUGUGUCUGAG
ensembl:lncRNA